rnacentral:lncRNA from 1 species
GUUCAUCCGGUUCUUAUUUGUUUAUAUUUUUCCAUUUCUGGUGUUGGAGGUUAAACACAGAGCCUCAUACAUGCUGAACACACUCGGUCCAGCUAAACCACACUGUCUGCAUGUUCAUUGAAAACUAUGUGGCAUAUGCCUUAAAUCCCAGCAGGUGGAUCUCUUUGAGUUCAGGGCCAGCCUGGUCAACAGAGUGAGUUUCAGGAUAGCCGGGGCUACACAGAGAAACUCUGUCUCAAAAAAACAAAAAACAAAAAGAAAGAAAGAAACACAGAAAACUACAACUCUUUGCUCUUCUCUCUUCAUGCUAGCUAUCAUUAAUCGUGUCCUUGGUUCUUUUUCUCACCUUGGACAUGGGCCACCUUUGUCCAAUGGUGUUACCCAUCCAGCAGACAGGAACUCCCUGCCCAUUUCUCCUAGGUCUGAAGAGGAUUGAGUGUAUACAAGUGGACAAGGAAACUUCAGCCUGGGCUGAGAUGCUUCGGGGACACGUACCUAACGUAAGGACAUUUGCUUUUUAUUUCUCUUCUUUGGACCAGAGUAGAUCGACAACCCCUGCCUCCAGUAAGCAUCCUGUUUCUGUAAGGCCAUGUUCAGCCACCAGGGGGCAGGGGCGAGCAGGACUUAGUGCCUCUGCGCCUGGCCGGCCACCUUGUCCCUCCAGGUUCCAGAUCUGCCGCAGAGGGCCCUGAAGUUGGCAAGGUGCACGGGAGAAGGGUGGUGGCGGUCCAUUCUUGUCCUAAAGCGCAAAGAUCAAAGCUUGGGAUGGAAGUCAGAGCAGUGAGACUGUCUCCAACAAAACAAAGCAGAUAUGGGAACUGGAGAGAUGGUUCAGUUAUUAUGAGGACCUGGGUUCAAUUCUCAACACCUACAUGGUGACUGCAGCUGUCUGUAAUCCCAAUUCCAAGGGAUUAGAUGCCAUCUCUGACCUCUUCAGGGAGGUACACAGACAUAUAAUAAGAC